AUGGAGGCGGCAGCCGUCGCUUCCUGCGGCUCCGGGCUGCGCUACCUGCCGCCGCUCGACCCCACCCCGAGGCGGCAGAAUCACCGGGCGGCGGUGGCGGGCUUGGGGACCAAGCGGCGGCGGCCUCGCGCCGCAGUCGCUUGCAGGCGGCCCCAUCGCGUUCACGCGGCGGCGGCGAGGGGUAGCGGCGGCGGCGCCGGGGACUCUUCUUCCGGUUCCGGCGGAGUAAGGAGCAAAAAACGGCUCGCGGUGUUCGUGUCCAGCGGGGGCUCCAACUUGCGGUCCAUCCACGAGGCCACCGCCGCGUGCGGCAAGGCGAGCAGCGGGGAUGUGGUCGCGCUCGUCACGGACAAGCCAGGAUGCGGCGGGGCGGAGUACGCGAGGCGCAACGGCAUACCGGUGGUCCUGUUCCCCAGGUCCAAAUCGGCGCCGGAGGGGGUGCCGACGGCUCAGCUUCUGAAUGCCCUGAGGGAUCUCAGGGUGGACUUCGUUCUGCUCGCUGGUUACCUGAAGCUUGUACCCGGCGAGCUAGUCCAGGCAUACCCCAGAUCCAUACUGAAUAUACAUCCUUCGCUCCUCCCGGCGUUUGGAGGCAAGGGUUAUUACGGUUUGAAGGUGCAUAAAGCCGUCAUUGCGUCUGGAGCCAGAUAUUCAGGAGCAACUGUGCACUUUGUGGAUGAACAGUUCGACACGGGAAGAACUUUAGCCCAAAGGGUUGUGCCUGUGCUAGCCGACGAUACUCCGGAGCAAUUGGCUGCAAGGGUUCUGCAUGAGGAGCAUCAUGUUUAUGUUGAGGCAGUUGCUGCCUUGUGCGAGGAUCGAAUCGUGUGGCGAGAAGACGGGGUCCCUCUUAUCAGAACUCAGACAAACCCCGAUGCGUACGCCUAA
rnacentral:rRNA from 1 species